AGUGGCGGACUGGUGAGUAACACCUGUGGCAACCUGCCUAUCAGAGGGGAACAACAGUUAGAAAUGACUGCUAAUACCGCAUAUGCCUUAGUAACACAUGUUACAAAAGGGAAAGAAGCAAUUCGCUGAUAGAUGGGCUUGCGUCUGAUUAGAUAGUUGGUGGGGUAACGGCCUACCAAGUCGACGAUCAGUAGCCGACCUGAGAGGGUGACCGGCCACAUUGGGACUGAGACACGGCCCAGACUCCUACGGGAGGCAGCAGUGGGGAAUAUUGCACAAUGGGGGAAACCCUGAUGCAGCGACGCCGCGUGAGCGAUGAAGUAUUUCGGUAUGUAAAGCUCUAUCAGCAGGGAAGAAAAUGACGGUACCUGACUAAGAAGCCCCGGCUAACUACGUGCCAGCAGCCGCGGUAAUACGUAGGGGGCAAGCGUUAUCCGGAUUUACUGGGUGUAAAGGGAGCGUAGACGGCUGUGCAAGCCAGAUGUGAAAGCCCGGGGCUCAACCCCGGGACUGCAUUUGGAACUGUGUGGCUGGAGUGUCGGGAGAGGCAGGCGGAAUUCCUAGUGUAGCGGUGAAAUGCGUAGAUAUUAGGAGGAACACCAGUGGCGAAGGCGGCCUGCUGGACNAUGACUGACGUUGAGGCUCGAAAGCGUGGGGAGCAAACAGGAUUAAAUACCCUGGUA
rnacentral:rRNA from 1 species